rnacentral:rRNA from 1 species
AUUGAACGCUGGCGGCAGGCCUAACACAUGCAAGUCGAGCGAGCGGCGGACGGGUGAGUAAUGUCUGGGAAACUGCCUGAUGGAGGGGGAUAACUACUGGAAACGGUAGCUAAUACCGCAUACCAUCAGAUGUGCCCAGGUUGGAUUAGCUAGUAGGGGGGGUAACGGCUCACCUGGGCGACGAUCCCUAGCUGGUCUGAGAGGAUGACAAGCCACACUGGAACUGUGACACGGUCCAGACUCCUACGGGAGGCAGCAGUGGGGACUAUUGCAAAAGGGGCGCAAGCCUGAUGCAGCCAUGCCGCGUGUGUGAAGAAGGCCUUCGGGUUGUAAAGCACUUUCAGCGGGGAGGCGUUACCCGCAGAAGAAGCACCGGCUAACUCCGUGCCAGCAGCCGCGGUAAUAC